rnacentral:lncRNA from 1 species
UAUCUGAGUGACAGGAUCUGCUCCUCGGGAGAGUUGGGGCGAGGCUGGCUGAGGUUCUCAAGGCACUGAGUUUUGCGUUCAGGUGCCCGACCAGCAGUGGAACGAUGCUUCCUGGCCUUUCUGACCUUUGCGUGACCUCUGGGCGCUGCUCUUAGAAAUCACAUCAAGCCUCCCAUUGGCUGCCCAGAGGGAUCCUCUGGACAGGUGGCAGGUAGAGUAUCCUUUCUAGUUUAUUCUCUCCCGUCUUCCCUCCCCUGCUUUUCCCUGUGUCUUUGUGGCUCUGUUGUGUCUCCUUCUCCUCAAGGUUCCAAUGACAAGUGAUGCAGAGGAAUUUAUUUUAUGUUCUCGUCAACAGAGAGAUCAUGGCCUGAGAGGUGACGUUUAUCCCGAUGCGCUCAUGACAGCAUCUCAAAGAUUCCACGCCGCCAGCUGCUCCGGCUUGAAGCCACCCUCCCGGAGAGGCGGCAGGAGGCAAGCCUGGAGGAGGCUCCGCUUUUUGGCAGAGGACGGACCCACCUUCUCAGGUGUCCUGGGAUCUAAUGAGGCACCACGAGGAGGAUGCUGGUCCCACGACAGAGCACAGCACCUGGAACUGAGAAAUGCCCAGAGUGGGACUCAAACCCAGCACCCUUCAGACAGGAGCUCUCUGAGCCGCAGUUCCUGAUUGGACUGUGUCUGCUUUGUUAUCAUUGAAUUGACACACAGUUUUGCAUGCUUUUGAAUGGUUGGGUUGGCUUCCCCCUGACCUCCUGUAUUUUUUUCUUUUUCUUUUCCCUUGGCCCUGGGGAUUGGAAGAAAAGAAUUGCCUUGGAAAACAUAAUUCUGUUGCUGAAAUUAACCUUGUUUAUGAACCAGUUCUGUCCCUAGGGAUUUUCAAAAUUGCAAUCCCAGGUUACCUAGUCAGUGGGGCUGCAUGGUUUGAUGUUGUGUAGUACUGAUCCUUAGAUGAAAAAUGCAUUUUCCAUCUUCCCUCUUUUCAACAUUUGGAUCCAGGUAAUGGCCCGAGUCCCAUUUGCUUAGCUACUGGAGCGAUCUCAGUGCCGUAUUGCUUGGAGUUGAAGUGUAAUCAAACAUAUUAUACCUGGGGCUUUUGCACGCCAUUCGGUGUAAAUGUUACUCGACAAAGGAACACGAACCUUGUAGGGUGAAAUUUAAUUCCUGUCUGGUACUGCAGCUAGAAUGGGGGAGAAAUUAUAAAUAUCAGAAAUGGCUUCAAAGUGCUUUGAAUGUAAACUACCCAGCAGUCAGUGGUUGAUCUUCUAAGGCAGAGCAGGGACCAGGGAUCACCCACCCCUGCCAGCAGUGUUGGUCCAGUGUCCCUUCUGGAGGAAUCUGUGGACGAGGCCCGCUUCUGUGUUUGGGUUGGUGGAGAUUGUUUCUGACCUGUGCUCUGUAACCAUGCCUGCCUUGAAAUAAAACACCUUCCAUUGAC